UACGUAGGGUGCGAGCGUUGUCCGGAAUUACUGGGCGUAAAGAGCUCGUAGGUGGUUUGUCGCGUUGUCCGUGAAAACUCACAACUCAAUUGUGGGCGUGCGGGCGAUACGGGGCAGACUGGAGUACUGCAGGGGAGACUGGAAUUCCUGGUGUAGCGGUGGAAUGCGCAGAUAUCAGGAGGAACACCGGUGGCGAAGGCGGGUCUCUGGGCAGUAACUGACGCUGAGGAGCGAAAGCGUGGGGAGCGAACAGGA
rnacentral:rRNA from 1 species